rnacentral:rRNA from 1 species
UACGACUACAUAUCAGGCAUAUCAAUAAGCGGAGGAAAAGAAACUAACUAGGAUUCCCUCAGUAACGGCGAGUGAAGCGGGAAGAGCUCAAAUUUGAAAUCUUCAAGGUUCUACCUUGACGAAUUGUAGUUUAAAGAAGUGUUUUCUGUUGGAGUUUUGGUAAAAGUUCUUUGGAAUAGGACAUCAUAGAGGGUGAGAAUCCCGUAUUUGACCAUUAUUUCCAACUUUGUGAUACACUUUCAAAGAGUCGGAUUGUUUGGGAAUGCAGUCCAAAAUGGGUGGUAAAUUUCAUCUAAAGCUAAAUACUGGCGAGAGACCGAUAGCGAACAAGUACCGUGAGGGAAAGAUGAAAAGAACUUUGAAAAGAGAGUUAAACAGUACGUGAAAUUGUCAAAAGGGAAGCGUUUGACACCAGUGUUGUUUUCUCGAAAAUCAAUUAAAAAUGGCGGGAUUUUGUGUUGUAUUGACUUUAUCAGCUUUCUGCACUUUUUUCUUGUCUUUUUUAAUGCACUUUUCGUUUAACAAGUCAACAUCAAUUUUUUUUGUUGUAAAAGGGUCAUUGGAAGGUGGCUUUCACUUCGGUGAAAGUGUUUAUAGCCUUUGACUUCUGCAAUCGGAGAGAUUGAGGUCUGCAGCGUAGAUCCUUCGGGGUUAGGUACAUUUGUGCUAAGUUAUAGUUUUUCAUAGACAACAUGUUGACUAUGAUUAGUCAUUGUAGCUUACUCGCUUAUGCUAUUUUACCUACGCUUAGGAUGUUGACGCGCGUGUGUGCGUG